ACCCCCAGGUAACACACACACCACCCCUCCAGGUAACACACACACCACCCCUCCAGGUAACACACACACCACCCCUCCAGGUAACACACCACCCCUCCAGGUAACACACACACCACCCCUCCAGGUAACACACACACCACCCCUCCAGGUAACACACACCACCCCCCCAGGUAACACACACACCACCCCCCCAGGUAACACACACACCACCCCCGCAGGUAACACACACACCACCCCUCCAGGUAACACACACACCACCCCUCCAGGUAACACACCACCCCUCCAGGUAACACACACCACCCCUCCAGGUAACACACACCACCCCUCCAGGUAACACACACACCACCCCUCCAGGUAACACACACCACCCCUCCAGGUAACACACACACCACCCCUCCAGGUAACACACAC